UACGUAGGGUGCAAGCGUUGUCCGGAAUUAUUGGGCGUAAAGAGCUCGUAGGCGGCUUGUUGCGUCGACUGUGAAAACCUGCGGCUCAACCGUGUGGUCUGCAGUCGAUACGGGCAGGCUGGAGUUCGGUAGGGGAGACUGGAAUUCCUGGUGUAGCGGUGAAAUGCGCGGAUAUCAGGAGGAACACCGGUGGCGAAGGCGGGUCUCUGGGCCGAUACUGACGCUGAGGAGCGAAAGCGUGGGGAGCGAACAGG
rnacentral:rRNA from 1 species